rnacentral:ncRNA from 1 species
GGGUAGCAAACAGGAUUAGAUACCCUGGUAGUCCACGCUGUAAACGAUGUCGAUUUGGAGGUUGUGACCUAGUGUUAUGGCGUCCGAAGCUAACGCGAUAAAUCGACCGCCUGGGGAGUACGGCCGCAAGGUUAAAACUCAAAUGAAUUGACGGGGGCCCGCACAAGCGGUGGAGCAUGUGGUUUAAUUCGAUGCAACGCGAAGAACCUUACCUACUCUUGACAUCCACGGAAUUUGGCAGAGAUGCUUAAGUGCCUUCGGGAGCCGUGAGACAGGUGCUGCAUGGCUGUCGUCAGCUCGUGUUGUGAAAUGUUGGGUUAAGUCCCGCAACGAGCGCAACCCUUGUCCUUUGUUGCCAGCGCGUAAUGGUGGGAACUCAAAGGAGACUGCCGGUGAUAAACCGGAGGAAGGUGGGGAUGACGUCAAGUCAUCAUGGCCCUUACGAGUAGGGCUACACACGUGCUACAAUGGCGCAUACAAAGAGCGGCGAGCGUGCGAACGUAAGCGAACCUCAUAAAGUGCGUCGUAGUCCGGAUUGGAGUCUGCAACUCGACUCCAUGAAGUCGGAAUCGCUAGUAAUCGUGGAUCAGAAUGCCACGGUGAAUACGUUCCCGGGCCUUGUACACACCGCCCGUCACACCAUGGGAGUGGGCGGCAAAAGAAGUAGGUAGCUUAACCUUCGGGGGGGCGCUUACCACUUUGUGGUUCAUGACUGGGGUGAAGUCGUAACAAGGUAACCGUAGGGGAACCUGCGGUUGGAUCACCUCCUUA